UACGUAGGGUGCAAGCGUUAAUCGGAAUUACUGGGCGUAAAGCGUGCGCAGGCGGUUUUGUAAGUCUGUCGUGAAAGCCCCGGGCUCAACCUGGGAAUUGCGAUGGAGACUGCAAGGCUUGAAUCUGGCAGAGGGGGGUAGAAUUCCACGUGUAGCAGUGAAAUGCGUAGAGGAUGGUGGAGGAACACCGAUGGCCGGAAGGCAGCCCCCUGGGUCAAGAUUGACGCUCAUGGCACGAAAGCGUGGGGAGCAAACAGG
rnacentral:rRNA from 1 species